rnacentral:rRNA from 1 species
CGCGUAGGCGGUCUGGUCAGUCGGAUGUGAAAGCCCCGGGCUUAACCUGGGAACUGCAUUCGAUACUGCCAAACUAGAAUAUGGGAGAGGGAAGUGGAAUUUCCGGUGUAGCGGUGAAAUGCGUAGAUAUCGGAAGGAACACCAGUGGCGAAGGCGGCUUCCUGGCCCAAUAUUGACGCUGAGGUGCGAAAGCGGUGGGGAGCGAACA